UAUAUACUCCCUCCGUCCGGAAAUACUUGUCGAAGGAAUGAAUGUAUCUAGAUGUAUUUUAGUUCUAGGUACAUCCAUUUUUAUGCAUUUCUCCGACAAGUAUUUCCGGACGGAGGGAGUAUAAA
rnacentral:pre_miRNA from 1 species